UACGGAGGGGACUAGCGUUGUUCGGAAUUACUGGGCGUAAAGCGCACGUAGGCGGAUUUGUAAGUCAGGGGUGAAAUCCCGAGGCUCAACCUCGGAACUGCCUUUGAUACUGGGUAUCUCGAGUCCGGAAGAGGUGAGUGGAAUUCCCAGUGUAGAGGUGAAAUUCGUAGAUAUUGGGAAGAACACCGGUGGCGAAGGCAGCCCCCUGGGCCAACACUGACGCUCAGGCACGAAAGCGUGGGGAGCAAACAGG
rnacentral:rRNA from 1 species